ACGCUAGCUACAGGCUUAACACAUGCAAGUCGAGGGGCAGCAUGGUCUUAGCUUGCUAAGGCCGAUGGCGACCGGCGCACGGGUGAGUAACACGUAUCCAACCUGCCGUCUACUCUUGGACAGCCUUCUGAAAGGAAGAUUAAUACAAGAUGGCAUCAUGAGUCCGCAUGUUCACAUGAUUAAAGGUAUUCCGGUAGACGAUGGGGAUGCGUUCCAUUAGAUAGUAGGCGGGGUAACGGCCCACCUAGUCUUCGAUGGAUAGGGGUUCUGAGAGGAAGGUCCCCCACAUUGGAACUGAGACACGGUCCAAACUCCUACGGGAGGCAGCAGUGAGGAAUAUUGGUCAAUGGGCGAGAGCCUGAACCAGCCAAGUAGCGUGAAGGAUGACUGCCCUAUGGGUUGUAAACUUCUUUUAUAAAGGAAUAAAGUCGGGUAUGGAUACCCGUUUGCAUGUACUUUAUGAAUAAGGAUCGGCUAACUCCGUGCCAGCAGCCGCGGUAAUACGGAGGAUCCGAGCGUUAUCCGGAUUUAUUGGGUUUAAAGGGAGCGUAGAUGGAUGUUUAAGUCAGUUGUGAAAGUUUGCGGCUCAACCGUAAAAUUGCAGUUGAUACUGGAUAUCUUGAGUGCAGUUGAGGCAGGCGGAAUUCGUGGUGUAGCGGUGAAAUGCUUAGAUAUCACGAAGAACUCCGAUUGCGAAGGCAGCCUGCUAAGCUGCAACUGACAUUGAGGCUCGAAAGUGUGGGUAUCAAACAGGAUUAGAUACCCUGGUAGUCCACACGGUAAACGAUGAAUACUCGCUGUUUGCGAUAUACUGCAAGCGGCCAAGCGAAAGCGUUAAGUAUUCCACCUGGGGAGUACGCCGGCAACGGUGAAACUCAAAGGAAUUGACGGGGGCCCGCACAAGCGGAGGAACAUGUGGUUUAAUUCGAUGAUACGCGAGGAACCUUACCCGGGCUUAAAUUGCAGAUGAAUUACGGUGAAAGCCGUAAGCCGCAAGGCAUCUGUGAAGGUGCUGCAUGGUUGUCGUCAGCUCGUGCCGUGAGGUGUCGGCUUAAGUGCCAUAACGAGCGCAACCCUUGUUGUCAGUUACUAACAGGUUCCGCUGAGGACUCUGACAAGACUGCCAUCGUAAGAUGUGAGGAAGGUGGGGAUGACGUCAAAUCAGCACGGCCCUUACGUCCGGGGCUACACACGUGUUACAAUGGGGGGUACAGAGGGUCGCUACCACGCGAGUGGAUGCCAAUCCCCAAAACCUCUCUCAGUUCGGACUGGAGUCUGCAACCCGACUCCACGAAGCUGGAUUCGCUAGUAAUCGCGCAUCAGCCACGGCGCGGUGAAUACGUUCCCGGGCCUUGUACACACCGCCCGUCAAGCCAUGGGAGCCGGGGGUACCUGAAGUGCGUAACCGCGAGGAGCGCCCUAGGGUAAAACUGGUGACUGGGGC
rnacentral:rRNA from 1 species